UAUUUGGUUUGAGCACAAGGAAGAACUGACUUCAUACAGAGUACCUUUAUGAAUGGAAACUCCCAGGUUAUGUAAGUGUACCUUGUUCAUGCUAAUGGAGCCUUGGAAAUACUUUUUUCCCCCUGCAUUUCAUGGGCCUGUCCUAUUUGGACUAUGACUCACCUUAAACCCAACAUAUUACAAUUUUGGGUCAGUUUUUCCUAGUCUGCCAGCACAGAACUGGGUGGGGAAGUUUCCACAGAAGGGCACUUAUUGCCACCUGAAUCUGGGCUUUCUAGAAACCCAGAGAGCGAGUUCCCCCAGGAUCCUUCAUCUUUGCCUCCCUGCCUCCCAGUGCCUGGCACUGUCAAACAUCAGAAGUGUUUCUUGAACCGAUCUGUGAGCUGCAAGAGGAACUCUUCCAGAAACUGGAGGCUACCUGCCCCCAGAACUUAGCCUCUGUCCACAGGCCCUAAGCUGACUGACAAGCACUGCAGUCUGGGCAGAUCCAAAGAAAGAUGUUCCUGAACCUCUGCCCCUGGAGGGAAGGAUAUGAGGGACUGUCCAGUGGUCUUUGACUUAAAAGAGGGUUGGACUGGCUAGAAGGCUGAAGGAGGCUAAGGCCUGAGCUCCCAGGAGGCCCUGGAAGGAUCCCACCAGGGGGCCACUCCUGCUCUUUCUUGUCCACUGGAUAGCCUGGCUUCCAGGGAGCUUCCCGCCGGGGUAUUUCGUAGAAGACUAAAGUCAUCAGCUCCCGGAGAACUAGGUAAAACCACUCAACUAAAACAUGGCUGCAGAGGAGGAGAUUCUCAGAUGCUGAACACAAAGGUGGAGGGAUUCACAGGGUGGGAAAGGAGGGGUAUCUCAUAUAAACCAGACAUAAGGAUAGGAUCCUGCAACUCCCAGAAGUUUGGAAAUCAUGGAUCUGAAGAUAUGUUGAGGUUUCAGAAGAAGUGGUCUUUAAAAACAUCUGAGUGUUUGAAAUGCUAAAUUCUAAAGGAUUGCUGUCACCAGUUCACUAAUUCUCCACAAGAGCCAAGACCUGUAGACACAGUGCCCAAGAGAUCAAGGCAAAACAGAAGCCAGUGAAGACUCAGAUAAGCAAUGAGCUAAUGCCCAGAUGAGAAGAGCCUAUUAAUACAGAAGUGAUGGAAGAGAUAAAUAAGAAGGCUGAAAUACUUUCUAUUCAUUAAGACAUGACUGAGGGGUCAAAAAUGAGGAACAUACAGGUAGCGAGAUUCUGUUCUAUCAUUUUCCAUAAAAAGGAAUGAAAAUAUCAAAAGAGAGGAAAUAGUAGACCAAGGGCUGAUUAUCGUUGCCGGGUAAACCAGGAGUGGGGUUAGUGGAAGGAAGGGAGGACGUGAAAGGAAACUUUGGGUGUUAAACAAACAAGGAGAAA